rnacentral:lncRNA from 1 species
ACGAAAUGCCUCCUUGACAUGGCUGGUGAGUGUUUAAUUGGCUGGGGAUGGGUGACUGAGAUGAACGGCAUCUGCUGCCACACAGAGUUUCACUUACCCUCUGGCAGCGCUCACCCUCAGUCAGCAUCUCUCAGUGACUUUCCGGGUACCAACCAGGCCAUGUUAGACCCCUUUAGGUCAUUUGUCCUUCUCACGACCCUAGCUUGAGUGCGAGCAGAAACUCUGUAAGUGAUCACUGCCUUUUGAUUUCAGGCUACAGACUAUCCUAUGACCCCUUCUCUGAAGCUGUCUAUGAAGAGAUCGACUAUAACCUGAUGAAGGAAAAGCAGGGCAUGACUGGCUUCUCAGGUCUGUAUGUCUUGCUCUUGCCUAGGGAAAAUUCCUCCUGGUGGGCCAGAUCCCAGUGUGGUACCUUGCAGCUCCCAAAUCUACAGGGAAACUGAAAACUCCUAGAUCUGAAGAGAGGGGUUUCCUCCCCACUGGAUUCCACCAAUUCCUCUCCUAGGAACAAUUCAUUUUGCACUGCCCUUGCCACAGCCAUAAAGCACAGAUCAGUAUAGGUCAAACAACCAACCAAAACACAAACAACUCUUGCUGCAAUUAUUUAAAGUAGGAACAUAUAAAGGAAUAAUUUUUAUCUCCCUCCCAGCAACUAUAUGUUCCUGUAAGCUUCCUCCUCUGGAUCGCUUUUCUCCCUUCAUGGCUCACCUCCUCCAUGAGACACAGAGGUGUUAUGGGGCCCUUGAAGGAUUCUUGGCUAUUCCUCUGUAAACCCUUUACUUUGUAGGAAUAAAACUGACUGCCCGAGAACCUGUUGGACUUGGAUGGUAUAUACAUGAGAUCUCUUUUCCUCAUGAAGUCCUAGCAGCUAAGGAGGGUUUAAUCUGAUAUCACACUCUUUCUCAUUUGCCUAGAUUCUUAUUCAGAGACUUCAAAAACAAAGGCACAGUUUUAUAGUGGGGACAGUGAUGAAGAAAAUGGUCCUGGAGCAACUCAAGAGGUCUCUCCACUGCCUGAAAAUGCCCCGGAAGAUAGUUAUGAUGAUGCAACAGAAGCUCCUGGACCUAAAGAUGCUCCUUUUUCUGAGCAAAAUGAUCAGGAAAUCAUUGGGAUCCCUGAACAAAGUGACAGAAAGAAGGAUUCACAGACAGGUGAGGCCAGAAGAGCAGGCUGUUG